rnacentral:rRNA from 1 species
GCAAGGCUGAAACUCAAAGGAAUUGACGGGGGCCCGCACAAGCGGUGGAGCAUGUGGUUUAAUUCGAAGCAACGCGAAGAACCUUACCAGGUCUUGACAUCCCCUGACAACCCAAGAGAUUGGGCGUUCCCCCUUCGGGGGGACAGGGUGACAGGUGGUGCAUGGUUGUCGUCAGCUCGUGUCGUGAGAUGUUGGGUUAAGUCCCGCAACGAGCGCAACCCUCGCCUCUAGUUGCCAGCAUUCGGUUGGGCACUCUAGAGGGACUGCCGGCGACAAGUCGGAGGAAGGUGGGGAUGACGUCAAAUCAUCAUGCCCCUUAUGACCUGGGCUACACACGUGCUACAAUGGGCGGUACAAAGGGCUGCGAACCCGCGAGGGGGAGCGAAUCCCAAAAAGCCGCUCUCAGUUCGGAUUGCAGGCUGCAACUCGCCUGCAUGAAGC